ensembl:snRNA U6 U6 spliceosomal RNA
GCUUGCUUCGUCAGGACAUAUGCUAAAAUUGGAACCACACAGAGAAGAUUAGCAUGGCCCUGCACAUGGAUGACACACAAAUUGAUGAAGUGUUGUAGAUUUUU